rnacentral:rRNA from 1 species
GAUAUUUUUAUUAAUAUUGUAUUAUUAUUAAUUAUACGGUAUGUUUAAAUUUUUAUUAAAAAUUAAUUCUUUUGUAAUUUGAGAUUGAAUAGAAUAUUAAAGACAAAUAACCAAAUAUAAAAUAAAUUGAGAAAAAGAUAAUAAAAAAUGAAAUUACUUCUUCACAAAUAAUUAUUAAAUAAUCAGUUUUUUUAUUAUUUUUUAUUAUUAUUAAUGUUAUAAUUAUUAUCAAUAUAUGUCAUAAGUCACUUAACAAGCAUUGAAAUAUGUACAUAUGAUUGAACCCGUGAAAAUGGUGUCCUAUCACGUAUCAUUGAACCGAUCACUUAUAGUGUGAGUUACACAUUAAAGGGGGUUUUAGUUCAGUGGGAUCACAUCUGCCUACCUCAGUUAAUUUUAAAAAUUAUAAAAUUUAUUACACUAUAUUUUUCAUAUUUUGAAUAAAUUUAUAAUAAAUGGUUUAUUAAUUAAGUAUUUAUAAAUUAAUAAGCAUUUAAAUACUCAAAUAUUUUUCAGCUAUAAUUAUUAUUCCUGUUAAUUUUAUUGCAAGUAGUUUUAUUAAAUCAAUUGUGUAAAAUUGUUGACAUAGUUGAAUUUGACAGGAAAAACUUUAUUUUUCUGUUAUUAUUUUUCCUAAGUUUGUCAUGCGUGAAUGGCGAGGAACCGAUAUCAGUUUGUGGGGUAGAAAAUCCAUUUAGAUUAUCAGAUAAUAAAUGCUCAAAUUUUACGGAUGUUUGCAUGANACAAGGAGUGGAGCCUGCGGCUUAAUUUGACUCAACACGGGAAAUCUCACCCGGUCCGGACACUGUGAGGAUUGACAGAUUGAUAGCUCUUUCUUGAUUCGGUGGGUGGUGGUGCAUGGCCGUUCUUAGUUGGUGGAGCGAUUUGUCAGGUUAAUUCCGAUAACGAACGAGACUCUGACUUACUAAAUAGUGAAUUUAUAUUCAAUUGUAAAUUCUCACUUCUUAGAAGAAUAAAUAGCGUUUAGCUAUAUGAAAUAGAGCAAUAACAGGUCUGUGAUGCCCUUAGAUGUCCGGGGCCGCACGCGCGCUACAAUGGCAGUACUAACAAGUUUUCCUAACUAGAAAUAGUCGGGUAAUUUCUUGAAACACUGUCGUAUCAGGGAUUGUGAAUUGAAAUUAUUUCACAUGAACGAUGAAUUCCUAGUAAGCGCAAGUCACUAGCUUGCGCUGAUUACGUCCCUGUCCUUUGUACACACCACCCGUCGCUACUACCGAUUGAAUGGUUUAGUGAGAUUGUUGGAUUCGGAUCUAAGAAAUGGAAACAUUUUUAUGAAUGGGAAAAGACACUCAAACUUGAUCAUUUAGAGGAAGUAAAAGUCGUAACAAGGCUUCCGUAGAUGAACCUGCGGCAG